AACGUAGGAGACAAACGUUAUCCGGAUUCAUUGGGUUUAAAGGGAGCGUAGGUGGACUUGUAAGUCAGUGGUGAAAUCUUUGGGCUUAACCCAGAAACUGCCAUUGAUACUGCAGGUCUAGAGUACAGUUGCCGUUGGCGGAAUAUGACAUGUAGUGGUGAAAUACUUAGAUAUGUCAUAGAACACCGAUUGCGAAGGCAGCUAACGAAGCUGUAACUGACACUGAGGCUCGAAAGUGCGGGGAUCAAACAGG
rnacentral:rRNA from 1 species